rnacentral:SRP_RNA from 1 species
CACGUAUGCCCCGCCGACUUGGAAACGUGAAUCCCGCCAGGCCAGAGAUGGAGCAACGGUAGCGUGGAAGGGUGUGGCGGGGCUUUCCUUUGU